UACGGGGGGGGCAAGCGUUGUUCGGAAUUACUGGGCGUAAAGGGCGCGUAGGCGGCCUUCUAAGUCAGACGUGAAAUCCCCGGGCUUAACCUGGGAACUGCCUUUGUGACUGCAAGGCUUGAGUGCGGCAGAGGGGGAUGGAAUUCCGCGUGUAGCAGUGAAAUGCGUAGAUAUGCGGAGGAACACCGAUGGCGAAGGCAAUCCCCUGGGCCUGCACUGACGCUCAUGCACGAAAGCGUGGGGAGCAAACAGG
rnacentral:rRNA from 1 species